CACGGGGAGGUAGUGACGAUAAAUAACGAUACGGGACUCAUCCGAGGCCCCGUAAUCGGAAUGAGAACACUCUAAACACUUUAACAAAAGUCAAUUGGAGGGCAAGUCUGGUGCCAGCAGCUGCGGUAAUUCCAGCUCCAAUAGCGUAUAUUAAAGUUGUUGCGGUUAAAAAGCUCGUAGUCGAAUCUGUGUCCCGCGCCGCUGGUUCAUCGCUCGCGGUGUUCAACUGGCGAGUUCGCGGGACGUCCUGCCGGUGGGCUCUUCGAAUGGUCGUUUCGGCGGUUGUUCGAGGCCCAACUCGCGUACGUCUUGUGCGGGCGCGAAUCCCAUUGCGGUGCUCUUUAUUGAGUGUCGGGGUGGGCCGGCACGUUUACUUUGAACAAAUUAGAGUGCUUAAAGCAGGCCAAUUUUGCCUGAAUACUGUGUGCAUGGAAUAAUGGAAUAGGACCUCGGUUCUAUUUUGUUGGUUUUCGGAACCCCGAGGUAAUGAUUAAUAGGAACGGAUGGGGGCAUUCGUAUUGCGACGUUAGAGGUGAAAUUCUUGGAUCGUCGCAAGACGGACAGAAGCGAAAGCAUUUGCCAAAAACGUUUUCAUUGAUCAAGAACGAAAGUUAGAGGUUCGAAGGCGAUCAGAUACCGCCCUAGUUCUAACCAUAAACGAUGCCAGCUAGCGAUCCGCCGACGUUCCUCCGAUGACUCGGCGGGCAGCUUCCGGGAAACCAAAGCUUUUGGGUUCCGGGGGAAGUAUGGUUGCAAAGCUGAAACUUAAAGGAAUUGACGGAAGGGCACCACAAGGAGUGGAGCCUGCGGUUUAAUUUGACUCAACACGGGAAACCUCACCAGGCCC
rnacentral:rRNA from 1 species